GUCUGCUGUGAAAACCCGAGGCUCAACCUCGGGCCUGCAGUGGGUACGGGCAGACUAGAGUGCGGUAGGGGAGAUUGGAAUUCCUGGUGUAGCGGUGGAAUGCGCAGAUAUCAGGAGGAACACCGAUGGCGAAGGCAGAUCUCUGGGCCGUAACUGACGCUGAGGAGCGAAAGGGUGGGGAGCAAACAGGCUUAGAUACCCUGGUAGUCCACCCCGUAAACGUUGGGAACUAGUUGUGGGGGCCUUUCCACGGUCUCCGUGACGCAGCUAACGCAUUAAGUUCCCCGCCUGGGGAGUACGGCCGCAAGGCUAAAACUCAAAGGAAUUGACGGGGACCCGCACAAGCGGCGGAGCAUGCGGAUUAAUUCGAUGCAACGCGAAGAACCUUACCAAGGCUUGACAUAUAGAGGAAAGUUCUGGAAACAGUUCCCCCGCAAGGUCUCUAUACAGGUGGUGCAUGGUUGUCGUCAGCUCGUGUCGUGAGAUGUUGGGUUAAGUCCCGCAACGAGCGCAACCCUCGUUCUAUGUUGCCAGCACGUAAUGGUGGGAACUCAUGGGAUACUGCCGGGGUCAACUCGGAGGAAGGUGGGGAUGACGUCAA
rnacentral:rRNA from 1 species